UGAGUACGAGACGCUAAGGCGUUGAAGCAGUCUAUGUCAGACUUCCAAGAAAAGCUCGCAAUGUCAUGAACAAAAAAUGCCUGUACCAUAACCGACACAGGUGGGUAGGUAGAGUAUACUAAGGGGCGCGAGAUAACUCUCUCUAAGGAACUCGGCAAAAUGACUCCGUAACUUCGGGAGAAGGAGUGCCUUAUUUUUAUAAGGUUGCAAUAACAAGAUCCAAGCAACUGUUUACCAAAAACACAGGUCUCCGCUAAGUCGUAAGACGAUGUAUGGGGGCUGACGCCUGCCCAGUGCCAGAAGGUUAAAGAAGUUGGUUAGUUUCGGCGAAGCUGAUGACUGAAGCCCUGGUGAACGGCGGCCGUAACGAUAACGGUCCUAAGGUAGCGAAAUUCCUUGUCGGGUAAGUUCCGACCCGCACGAAAGGCGUAAUGAUUUGGAUACUGUCUCGGAGAGGGGCUCGGUGAAAUAGACUUGUCUGUGAAGAUGCGGACUACCUGCACCUGGACAGAAAGACCCUAUGAAGCUUUACUGUAACUUGAGAUUGAAAUUGGACUUUAUUUGCGCAGUAUAGGUGGGAGACGUUGAGAAUAUUCUUGCGGGAAUAUUGGAGUCAUCAGUGAGAUACCACUCUUGUAAUGUUAGAUUUCUAACUUUGUAUCAUUAUCUGGUCAAAGGACAGUUUCAGGCGGGCAGUUUGACUGGGGCGGUCGCCUCCCAAACGGUAACGGAGGCGCACAAAGGUUUCCUCUGAACGUGUAGAAAUCGUAUCUAGAGUGUAAAGGCAUAAGGAAGCUUGACUGUGAGACCUACAAGUCGAGCAGGGACGAAAGUCGGUCUUAGUGAUCUGACGGUGCUGAGUGGAAAGGCCGUCACUCAACGGAUAAAAGUUACUCUAGGAUAACAGGCUGAUCUCCCCCAAGAGUUCACAUCGACGGGGAGGUUUGGCACCUCGAUGUCGGCUCAUCGCAUCCUGGGGCGGUAGUACGUCCCAAGGGUUGGGCUGUUCGCCCAUGAAAGCGGUACGCGAGCUGGGUUCAGAACGUCGUGAGACAGUUCGGUCCAUAUCCGGUGUAGGCGUUAGAAUAUUGAGAGGAGCCUUCUUUAGUACGAGAGGACCGAGAAGGACAUACCUCUGGUGUACCAGUUAUCGUGCCAACGGUAAACGCUGGGUAGCUAUGUAUGGAGUGGAUAACCGCUGAAAGCAUCUAAGUGGGAAGCCCACCUCAAGAUAAGUAUUCCC
rnacentral:rRNA from 1 species